GCAUGUAUCGAUCGUUUCUGAGCACGGG
rnacentral:sRNA from 1 species